AGAGCGGGCAGGGCAGGGCAGGGCUAGGAGGGAGCACGGAGGGUCAGCUGGUCCAGCCUCCAUCGUGCCGCCUUCCUGCUCAAGCGGGGCCAUCCCUGAGCAGCUGGCAUGGGAUUGCAUCCAGGCGGUUCCGGAGCAUCUCCAGUGGGGCAGACUCCGCAGCUUCUCUGGGCAAUCAGUGCUCAGUCACACAGUACAGAAGUUCUUCCUCACAUUCGCCUGGAACCUCCCGUGUUUCUGCCCUCUGCCUCCUGUCCUAUCGCUUGACCCCACUGAGAGAGCCUGGCUCCAUUCUCUUGAUAUCUCCCUUCAGAUAUCUGUACAUCCUUUCUGGAGAAUCCUCUGGGAUCCCGGCAGGUGCAGGCUGAGGUGCCCAGCUCUCAGGGCAGGCAGGGCAGGAUCGUGCUUUGGUUUAUGCGGGUGUUAAUUUCAGCACCUGUCCAAACACAGGCUUGAUAAUAUUAAAAUUAAAAUUCCUAUUGUGAGAUUUUGUGCUUUUUUUUCUUCAGGGAAAACCACUAAAGUAACAUUUUUUUGUGAAUAAAUAGUUGCUAAGUACAAUUCCUCAAUAAAAAGAAGGAAUAUUUCGCUGUCUUCCUCACCUCUGCCAGUUCCCCCAGUGUGUGGGGUUUCACCCUUACAGUGCAUUUUUGGGAGCAUCUGGAAGCUGCAGCAGGUCUCGGUGGCUGCAGUGCUCCUGCCGGGUCAUCCCUGUGGGGCUGUGCUGGCACCAGGCGGGUGAGUUCAUCAGAAACACGGACUGUGACAGGCAGCAAACAACGGGGAGGUGAUGAGUUCCUGCUCUGGAGAUUCCAGCUGGAUCCUUGAUUUAUUGUCUGUCACCUGGGAGCAGCGAAGCUCUUGGAUAUCAUCAGCACCAAUUGUGCCUGAAAAUCACUCGCAGGGAUGCUUUUUAUGUUGGGCCUCCAAAAUCUGGGGCAUCUCUGUGACUUUUGACUUCAGUAAGAUUUGGCACAUGACUUAGAGAAUAACGACCACUGGUCAUUCCUGGUUUACAUGUAAGAUUUGGUGAGUUCUGUGGAUGAAAUAUGGCAUGUCAUAUUAAUAUAGAAUAUUCCAUGUGAAUCAACAGAAAAUACCAGAUAUAGGUAAUACCCUAAAAUUUCCCAUUGCUCACAGUAUUGCCAAAUAGCACAAAUAUCAAGUUUGAUGUUUUCUAUUUGUAAAAUGUCCCUUAGCUUGGACUUCUAAGCAAACUAGGUGCAAUUUCUCUCUAUUUUUAAACACAGGCACAAAAAUGUUUGUUCCUGUAUUUUCUGCUCUUCUCUGAAAUGGGUAUUUUGGAUGAGGAGGUAUUUAGUGAUUGGGACUGUGGUGGCCCAUAUGGCAGAGAAGUACCUUUUGCCACCUCAAUUUGAAUUUGUAUAAGUAAAAAUUCAGCAUAGCUUUGCAGUGUGAUAGAAUUAUAAUCGUAGAGGAAUAGAAGUUACAAGAACGAAAUGUUAAGGAGACCUCAAAUUCUGGAAGUGUCUGGAAAAGACAGAAAUCCAAUUGUUCUAGUGAAUUUAAUUUGGAUAAUCACUUGUGCAACAUUUAUGAGAAGUUGAUGUUUUAUGGUAAUUUCAAAUGUUAUUUUGGACAAUAUGGGACAUCACUGGGGAUGCUGUUGGUUCUCCAAAGUUUGAGAUGGGCAAAACUGACUGCAAAUGCUGGAAAGAAAAGGGUUCUAGUAAAAUAAAGAAUUAGAUUAUAGCGGAGGGAAGUAGAUGGAGAGAGACUAUUCACACUAAAAAUACCAGUAGAUCUCAACGUCCUUCAGCAAUCAAAAACCUGCUCUGAAAUGAUUUCUCAUAUUCUCUAUAAUGAGUUUCUCCCUAAAUCUUUGAAACUACUAGCUUCUUUGAGGAUUAUCUGUCCUGGCAAGAGCAACAAUAAGAUAAAUGUUCUCUUUCAAAACCUGCCUCAACACACUUGUCAAUAUUUACCAUAUAUUUAUAACUUGACACGGUGAAGGAUUGAUGAGAUCAUUACAGUGGAUUAGGAUGACUCAUUUCCCUGUCCUCCAUGACUGCUGCUGCUUAGCUCUUUACUUCUCCCGACCGCCCAAAGGAGAAACUCUGACGUGUUCUGAGCAGGCUUCCAGAGACUUGGAAGAAAUCAAUCCAUUCUUUUACAGUCCUUGAAGAUGUCCAAAGGAUUCUUCUAACAAAUUUUCUGUGUAAAACCAGCACUCAAGUGAUUUUUCAUUCAUCUUGCAGUUGUUAGUCAUUAGACUCCACAAACAUUAGGAAAUUUGUGUCAUUCACAAUCUCUUGCUUUCCACAAGCAAAACUCUAAAUAUCAAUAAAAUCAGAAUUUGACUUUCACUUCUGUACAAUCUUUCAGAUCCUAUGGUACAGUGAGUGGUACCAUAUUCCAGUCCUCUUCCAGGUUUGCUGUGGCAAGUAGGAUGAAAAUAAUUUCCUAUAGGUUUUCCCACUGUUCUCAGCAGCAGAAUUAUGCCUUACUUUUGUGGCUGUGGGAAAUUCUUUCCUCUGUCUGAUGUUGUAGGUUUAGGAAUAUUCUGGUAGGGUUAUGACUAGAACUGUUUAUGAUGAGAAAGCACUUUUUAUAGCUACUGUUUGCCUGAACCCUGCUGAUCUAUUUAUACACCCAGUCUGUUCAAAGAUGAUAGCAAUUAUUAGUGAAAAUAGAUUAGGAAAUAGUGAGGGAUUAGCCCAUGUCUACAGGCUAAUUUUGUUCUGCCAUGAAAUCAGCUGCAGGGUGUUGUGAUCAUACUUUGAACAGGAGGGUAAAAGACACAUUCAUACUGUUCUCAACCUAUUCACCUGAAAGAAAAGCAGUUGCUUUGGACUUACAUUGUAUCUCAGAGGAAGAGCUCUUCUUGUGUAGCUCUAUGAAUUAAAAAAAAAAUAUUAACAACAAAACGGUUCUGGGUUUUGGUCCUUAUCUACUCCUAAUUUCAGGAUAUUUUUCUGAAUUGCCUAAGGCUCUUUUUCACUAUAUAGUACCUCUAGAUUUCCUGAUAAAGAAUGAUCUGAAACAAAUACAGACAUUUUACUAAGGAGCAAAAGUUGUCUAAAUCCGGAUUUGCAGUAACAAAUUUAGAAAAUAAAAUAUCUUGCAAGUAAGUUGUUAGACACAUAGGAGUCUAUCAAGAGCUGGAGAAUACUUUCAAUCUUUGUAUGGAUUCACACACAGCAAAAAUAUGUUGGUGGUCUGACAUCCCAGAGUGGCUUUGAAUUGUCUGAAUCACCAAGCUGCAUCAUAAUGACUCAUUCUUGUUGCGUACUGACAUCCCUGCUGGGAAAGAGCUGCUGUCUCUCUUGUAGCAAUUUCAGCUGGCACAUUUUUGUUUUCUCCUCCCAAUGAAGUUUCUGUCCUAACAGACAUCUACAGUGGAGGAGAGGCAUUGUUUUGCAGUGCUAGAGGUGCUGUCAUAGUCCAGGCUUAGAAUUGUGCUGCACCAGAACCCAGCUAAGGACACCUUCUUACACACUGCUUAAAAUACUUGUAGAAGUAUGGGCGAAAGUUUUCUGUGGCUGAAAACUUGGAAUUUCAAGGUGAGAGAACAGGACUUCUGGAGACAUCCAAGCCAUUGCUUAGGAGUACAUGAUUGUCAUAUUUGUUUCUUCCUGAAUAGGAGCGGCAGAAUUACAGAGGAGCACUAAUCCAUACAUUUAUGCACAUCUUUCACCCAGAGGAAAUUCCAGAGGAAACCAUCAAGUCCUGCAGAGGCACCAUCAUUAUGUCUGCAUACGGAGAGUGCUGUGCUACAGCUGCAGAGCAGAACGUUCAGUGUGCAGCAGUCAGUGAACAAGGGCUUGCUCUCAUGGAGCACAAGGUCUCAGGGACUGCCCAGCUGUUUCCUUUUCUGCAGACACUGGCUUCACCAGUCAGAAAUGCUUGGCAUUGCUGUCUGUGAAGCACCACGAAACACUCCUGCCUAACACUCCUGUGGUGCCUUACUCUUCCUCGGGCAGAGUGGCUACAGCAAUUCCAAAGGCUGGUAACAUCCCACACUACACCACAGAACUGUAGUGUCAACAGUCAAUCCUGGGCCAAAGGCAGCACCAAAAAACAUGGAGUAAAAUUCCAUAAUUUUCCAUCUAACUAGGAGCUUGCUGACCUUUGCACUUUUGAAAAUAGUAUCUGCUGAAUUUUAAAACAUUUUCUACAAAAUCAUCUUAACAGUGAAAACCACAGGAUCUGAAUGGAUGGUUAGAAACUGUGAUCUGUCUGUACAGGUUUCUA